GGCACUAUAGCUCAGUAGUCUAGAGCACGUUGGCAGCAAUGAGGAGGUCUGGGGUUCGAAUCCCCAUAGAGCCA